UCGCUUCAGCAGCACAGAUACUAAAACUGGAACGAUGCAGAGAAGAUUAGCAUGGCCCCUGCUCCAUGCUAAUUUUUUAAAAAGAAGGAAAAAAAAAAAAAAA
rnacentral:snRNA from 1 species